rnacentral:tRNA from 1 species
AUUUAAAUAGUUUAUAAACAGAAUAAUAAUUUGUGGUAUUAUAGGUGAAUAUUAAAUAUUCUUUAAAUC